UGUAUUUGGUAUGCGUUUGAUGCGCUGUGUAUGACAUUUAAGAAACAGCUAAAAGAUUAUAUCUUUAUUGUAACUGAAAAUAAUUAUCACAAUUACUAAAUUAUAGACUAGAGUUUAUAUAUUUAAAAGUCCCGCCCCAAGCAUCUUGGAAAUGUGGGACGGCGUACCACAGGUUGGUGGGGGCCAUAUGGCUCACAGCCAGUGUUAUAAGAACAGGACACAGCACUGAUGUGCACUGAGAAGAAAUUUCAACUGAAGCUGCACCGCUAUACACACUUGAAGUUAUAAUGAGACAGACAAUGCAGAACAUCAACAGCAAAAACGCUUUCAUGGUUAGAAACAGACCUUCUUCUUCUGAUGAUGAUGAUGAGGCUUUGCCAAGUUAUCAAACCUCUCAAAUAAUCACAAAUACAGAGAAUUUCGAUUUGUCUGUUGAUAGUCCCUUUGGCUUAGACUUCAGCGCUAUACCGGAUUUUAAUAAUAUUUUGGAAUUGGCGCCAGAUUAUGCCACAAAAAUGGAUGAUGCGACGGCUGAUGGUAUUCUACGGGAUAUAUUGAACAAACCUGAUUAUUGUCACAACACCUCUAUACAGAACAGCAAUGUUGUUGAUGAGCAACCGUUUUUCCCACACGCGACAGGGGGUCGUGCUAAAACAUUCGAAUAUAAAGCAGGUGUGUAA